rnacentral:lncRNA from 1 species
GUGCCAAGUCAAACUAGAUCAUUCUUUGUGAAACGGAGGGAGUACAACUUUAGAAUAAAAUUAUUGGGACACAGCCCACACAAUAGUCUCCAAAAACAUGAGAUAAAAGACACAAAUGAAAUGGUGGGUUUUGUCCUCGAAGCUAUGAGGACUCACCAAGAUCUUCAACUCCUUAGCUCCUUAGAAACCCAUCUCCAAAAUAGCACUCAAGUCUCCAAACCCUACAUUUGAUUAGAAUGUAUGCAAAGUAUGUGUUAGUACAAAAUGUACUAAAUAUGUUAGCUAGCAUAACCAUAAGAGCAUAAGACAAGGGUUAGUCAAUAUAAGACAUAAUCCAAAAUCAUAUGAAAUACUUACAUGAAACAUAAACUAUAAGCAUAAGAGACAAUAUCAUUAUAAUAAGCAAAGUCUCCAACAUAAGCAUCAUAUAAGAAUUAUUCAACUCUUGGUCAUUUGUACCAUAAUAGGACUAUUCUACAAAUAACCUCCAAAGCAUAUUUGUGCAAUGCAUGAAUAACAUCCCAUAAUACCAUCCAAGCUAAGUAUCCAUUUUUGUCAUCUUAAUCAUAGUCUAUAUGCAUAGUCAAGACCUAGGCUUCAUGUACUAAGAGCACUAUACUUCUAAGUAACCUCAAGACACACUUGUGCCAUGCAUGAAAGGCAUCCCAUAAUAUCAUUCACACUAAGCAUACCCUUGAAGUCACCAUAUGCAUACUUACCACUCAUUGGUCUCAUUCUUAGCUUACUUCAUAACUAAGGAUAUCUCUCACCUUUAGUCAAUCAUAACAUAACAAGGAAGGCAACUAUAGCACAAUCUUAUCUAAGCAUACAUCAUAUAAGAGAAAUACUUCAUGAGUCACCUUAAGGCAAGCUUGUGCCAUGCAUGAACAAGACCCCAUAAUCCUACCCCUGCUAAGCUAGACACUUUAGGUUCAUCAUUCAUGUUUAUCAUCUCUUAACAUCAUAAAGACAAGGGGAAUAACCUCUUAGUCAUGCAUGUAUUGGAGGGGCCUCUAAAGCUACAAUCAAAUCUAAUCAUGCUCAUGUUCAUAAAUGCAAGGGGGAGUCACCUCAAGGCAUACAUGUUUAGUUCAUCAUGAAGGACAAGGAGAGUCACCUCAAGCCACACAUAUCAUGGAAUCAUAAAGACAAGGGUAUUCACCUCUAGUCAUACAUACUUAAUGAGUCAUAGGUAAUCACUUCCAUGUUCAUUUUAAUGGGAUAUAGGUAUUCACCUCCAUAUCCAUUUUUAUAUGUUAUGUAGGUAUUCACCUCUACAUCAUCACAUAAGGAUCAUAGGUAAUCGCCUCCAUGAUCAACAUAAAGGCUAAUGGGUAAUCACCGCUUGCCUUGAGAGUCACACAUAUACAAAGGGUAAUCACCUUACACUCCUCAUGCUUAACUAAUUAGGAGUAAGGGAGUUCACCAUACAUUCCUAUCAUGCAAAGGUCUUUUAGAGGAAUCACCACAAGCCUCAUCACAUCUCAUAGUCCUAGGACUUAGAUUCAUUUUAGGUGAGAAUAUACUUUCAACCUAGAAUCAUUCUAUGUGAGAGAACCUUUCAUGUCAUAUCAUGUUCAUGCAUAAUACCAUAUCUAGAAUUCUACAUUAGACAUAGAUACUAGCAUAACUCAAGUGAUUCUAUCACUUUGUGCACUUAAGCACUCAUAAUGUAUAUUAGGUAGGUAUAGGCCUUCUACCACAAUUCUAUACUUUUAAUCUUCUAAUAUCACAUAUAGACUUUACUCUCAAAGCCUUAACAUUCAUAGUUCAUCAUAUUGGAUUUACUUUCAAACCCUAGUGAUCAGCAUUCAUGACUACAAGCCUUACUCUCAAAGCUUUACUUCUUACAAUCAUCAUUCAUACCUAGAUUUCUAGGUAAUCUAAUCACAUUCUUCAUUACUAGGUGAUUCUAGUCAUAAUUCAUCCUAAAGGUUCAACUUCAAGUUUACUUAGUCAAGAUCCAUCAUCUAUAUACCAUGAUCUAGUUCAAUUCAUGUCUAAUUACCUUUAAUCUUGAACAAUUGCUAUACAAGUCAACACUUCUAGAGGAUCAAUUAAGAUUCAUCAAUUUCCCUCUACAAGACUUAGACCCACACACUUUGAUUUCCUCAAUUUGGACUUAGAGUUAGCCAUAGAAACACAUAAUAUCAUCAAUACAUCAUGAUCAAUACUAAAACAAUCGUAAUUGAGUAUUAUCCAACCAAUUGGAAUCAUACUUAAACACUACCCAUACUUUGGAAGAAACCCUAGCUUAGAUUGGGGGUUUUCUUCUCAAUUUGGGGGAAAUCUAGGGGGCUCUAUGGGUGGAAGAACCCAUAGAUGAUUAAGCUAACAUACCUUAGGUGAAGAUUAUCCACGAAUUUGAGGAGGAAAGGCAUCCCCUUGAACCCUAGACUUGACCUCCUCCUCCUUCUUCUUCAAUGGAGUCUUAGAGAGAGAA